GCCCAGCACGGUGGUGCAUGCCUGUAGUCCCAGGUACUCAGGAGGCUGAGGUGGGAGGAUUGCUUGAGUUCAGCAUCAAUAUGGUGACCUGCCGGGAAUGGGGGACCACUGGGGUGAACCGGCCCAGGUCGGAAACAGAGCAGGUCAAAACUCCCAUGCUGAUCAGUAGUGGGAUCAAGCCUGUGAAUAGCCACUGCACUCCAGCCUGGGCAACAUAGCAAGACCCUGUCUCU
rnacentral:sRNA from 1 species